CUUGUACAGUCUGUCACUGUAAAAAUUGUCAACGAUUUCGUUCAGAAGGUGUAUCUUUUCAUCAGUUUCCGAAAGAUCGAGAACUUUUAAAAAAGUGGCUGAUUGUUGUGAAAAAAGAUGACAGCUUCAAACUGACUAAGUAUAAGCUGGUGUGCUCAGAUCAUUUCACAACAACUGAUUUCAUUGUUGUAAAUGAGAGAAAACAAUUGAAAUCGAACGCAAUUCCCAGUGUGAAUUUAGAUGAAAGUCUAGAAGCUUCUUCAACUUCAAUGAGUACUGUGAGUGCUACUUCAGCUGAUAUUUGAGAAGAGUCUCCAUCGAUUAUACCUCAAGGUGUAAAGAGGACAUUAAGUGCUGCGCAGAGAUACCAUGGAAAAAGCAGUAACAGUACAAGUGGAAAUAAAA